AGAGCAAUGGAUCCUGGGAGCACAGCCCCAGUAGCCAUGCUCAAAGAAGACGUAUGAUAUGGGCCAAUAUUCACCAAGGUAGAACACGCAUGUAAGCAAACCACAAGAUCAAAAUGCAACAUUCCAGACUGAGAGUCUAUUCCACUACAUUUCCUCUUCAAACAAGAGCCAACCUACAAGAGAUGACAGUCAACCAGGACAA